rnacentral:rRNA from 1 species
AGAGUUUGAUCAUGGCUCAGGAUGAACGCUGGCGGUAUGCCUAACACAUGCAAGUCGAACGAUGUCUUCGGACAUAGUGGCGGACGGGUGAGUAACGCGUGAGAAUCUGCCUCUAGGAUGGGGAUAACGGUUGGAAACGACCGCUAACACCCAAUAUGCCGUAAGGUGAAAAAUUUAUUGCCUGGAGAGGAGCUCGCGUCUGAUUAGCUAGUUGGUGGGGUAAGAGCUCACCAAGGCUUCGAUCAGUAGCUGGUCUGAGAGGAUGAGCAGCCACACUGGGACUGAGACACGGCCCAGACUCCUACGGGAGGCAGCAGUGGGGAAUUUUCCGCAAUGGGCGAAAGCCUGACGGAGCAAUACCGCGUGAGGGAGGAAUGCCUUUGGGUUGUAAACCUCUUUUCUCAGGGAAGAAGAUCUGACGGUACCUGAGGAAUAAGUAUCGGCUAACUCCGUGCCAGCAGCCGCGGUAAUACGGAGGAUGCAAGCGUUAUCCGGAAUCAUUGGGCGUAAAGCGUCCGCAGGUGGUUUCCAAAGUCUGCUGUUAAAGACUGGAGCUCAACUCCGGAACGGCGGUGGAAACUUGGAAACUAGAGUUCGGUAGGGGUAGCAGGAAUUCCCAGUGUAGCGGUGAAAUGCGUAGAUAUUGGGAAGAACAUCGGUGGCGAAGGCGUGCUACUGGACCGUAACUGACACUCANGGACGAAAGCUAGGGGAGCGAAAGGGAUUAGAUACCCCUGUAGUCCUAGCUGUAAACGAUGGAAACUAGGUGUGGCUUGUAUCGACCCGAGCCGUGCCGUAGCUAACGCGUUAAGUUUCCCGCCUGGGGAGU